GAGGCGUGGCAGAGGGUUUGUAACUGUCUUUACCACGAAGUGGUGGGGUGUGUAGGUCUGCUUCUGCGGAAGAAUCCCCCGGAGUCGGACACUGGCGUGAGAUUGCUAUUGCUGGGCUUUUGUUGCAGGGUAAAGGUUAACAUUUUAUUAUUGCCUGUUUACUCUUCAUUCGUUAGAGAAUAUUUAAAUGAUUACCGUGGUUCAGCAAAUUUUACCAGUUUGAUCAUGUUAAAUAAAAUAAAGAUCAUUCAAAAUGCACUUAGGUCUUUCAUGGAAUUGCUCUUUGUUCAAGUGAGUUUAUGAAAAUUCUUACAGUAAUUAUACUUCGUUUACUUGUCACUUUAGGUGCAAACACUGAAAUGCUUUCCGUGUCUUGCUAAUCCCUCUGACCUUUCGUUUUUAUCUGAUCGUAUUGUCCCCACACUGGAGAUGUGGAAACUGGGAUAAGAGUUUGAAAUCAUGUUUUUAUCACCAAAGAGUCAAAUGUAGAAUUCAGCUUGCCCUAGCUCUCUUUCUAAAUUUUUAAGUCAGUGGUUUACAACCUGAUUUUGGGUUACACUGUGGCAUCUUGACAUUUCAGAAAAUAUGUGAUAUUCUUUUAGUUACUCCAUUUAGUUGAAAUGAUUUUAGUUCACAUAUUUAAAAAAUGAGGGCUUCGUGUUGAGGCAUAUGUCUCCGUAGGCAUCCCGCUGAGUGUCGUGUUGUUUGUAUGUAUAGCGGUUCACUCGCACCUACACAUAUAUACCUGUUUUCAGAUUACGAAGACUGAGGAUUUCAAGUUUAGAAGAAUAGGAGUCACUGAAUAGAGACUUCGCUUUUCUAGUUCUAAAAUACAAAAGAUUUUGAUAAAUGCUCUAAAAUUGGCUUAAGCCUUUGCAAUUAAAAUUGGUUUAAUUUCCAGUUUCCACUGGUUUAAUGGAAAUUAAAGUUAUUUCAUUUAUGUUAUUGCCGUGGUUGAGAUUAGAUCAUCUCAAUGUUCUGAAUAAUUUGGGGAGUCACAGUUACACUAGUGGUCAUUGGGCUUCUCUCUCCUCCCCGCCUCCAUCCCUUUCUUCCUUCUCUCCCUUCUCUCCUCCUCCCAAUUUUUAGGGGUGGUUUGGUUUUCUCUUGAGUGUGUUGCUUGCAUGAAAUGGUUGUCGGCAGGGGACACAGAGAAGCUCUGGUGAUGGCCGUACCGUUGAGGGUGUGCCUCUGUUCCUACGUGUCACUCUAGUGAGGACUGCGUUCUACUGACUGUGUCCUCCGUCUGCACUGCUUAUAUUCUUGUUCUGGAGUGAAGGUGGGAGUAUAAAACGAGGGACAUUACUGAUGUGUGUUCCAUCACACGAGUAUGCGAAGCUUCAUGUAAAAAUUGAGUGGAAGUUAAGUAGCAGGAUAUUAACAUUUUAUGUCCAUGACUUUAAACCUUUUGAAGUGAAAGGUGAUGUAGAACCUGCUGUUAUGAUAUUUCUUUUUAUCUUAGCCUAUAAGAUCUCCAUUAUUCGAAUGAGCUCUGCUAAUGAAAGAGAUCAUGAAAGAAUAAUUUUCUGUGACGCUCUGCCGUGUCAUGCAGGACCCAGUUGCCAUGGUUGAGAGGUGGCUGGCACUCUGGGGCAGGAGUCUGAGGCAGUGAAUGAAUGAGUAGU